rnacentral:rRNA from 1 species
GAACGCUGGCGGCAUGCCUUACACAUGCAAGUCGAACGGCAGCACGGGAGCAAUCCUGGUGGCGAGUGGCGAACGGGUGAGUAAUGUAUCGGAACGUACCUUUCAGUGGGGGAUAACGUAGCGAAAGUUACGCUAAUACCGCAUAUUCUGUGAGCAGGAAAGCAGGGGAUCGCAAGACCUUGCGCUGAUUGAGCGGCCGAUAUCAGAUUAGCUAGUUGGUGAGGUAAAGGCUCACCAAGGCGACGAUCUGUAGCGGGUCUGAGAGGAUGAUCCGCCACACUGGAACUGAGACACGGUCCAGACUCCUACGGGAGGCAGCAGUGGGGAAUUUUGGACAAUGGGCGCAAGCCUGAUCCAGCCAUGCCGCGUGAGUGAAGAAGGCCUUCGGGUUGUAAAGCUCUUUCAGCCGGGAAGAAAACGCAUGGGUUAAUACCCUGUGUGGAUGACGGUACCGGAAUAAGAAGCACCGGCUAACUACGUG